rnacentral:rRNA from 1 species
GAUGAACGCUGGCGGCGUGCCUAAUACAUGCAAGUCGAGCGAACAGAUAAGGAGCUUGCUCCUUUGACGUUAGCGGCGGACGGGUGAGUAACACGUGGGUAACCUACCUAUAAGACUGGAAUAACUCCGGGAAACCGGGGCUAAUGCAGGAUAACAUGUUGAACCGCAUGGUUCUACAGUGAAAGGCGGCUUUGCUGUCACUUAUAGAUGGACCCGCGCCGUAUUAGCUAGUUGGUGAGGUAACGGCUCACCAAGGCAUCGAUACGUAGCCGACCUGAGAGGGUGAUCGGCCACACUGGAACUGAGACACGGUCCAGACUCCUACGGGAGGCAACAGUAGGGAAUCUUCCGCAAAGGGCGAAAGCCUGACGGAGCAACGCCGCGUGAGUGAUGAAGGUCUUCGGAUCGUAAAACUCUGUUAUUAGGGAAGAACAAAUGCGUAAGUAACUGUGCGCGUCUUGACGGUACCUAAUCAGAAAGCCACGGCUAACUACGUG